rnacentral:rRNA from 1 species
UACGGAGGGUCCAAGCGUUAUCCGGAUUUACUGGGUUUAAAGGGUGUGUAGGCGGGCUUUUAAGUCAGUGGUGAAAUCUCCGGGCUCAACCCGGAAACUGCCAUUGAUACUAUUAGUCUUGAAUUUUGUUGAGGUAGGCGGAAUAAGUCAUGUAGCGGUGAAAUGCAUAGAUAUGACUUAGAACACCAAUUGCGAAGGCAGCUUGCUAAACAAACAUUGACGCUGAGGCACGAAAGCGUGGGGAUCAAACAGG